GGGACACGUGGUAUCCUGUCUGAAUAUGGGGGGACCAUCCUCCAAGGCUAAAUACUCCUGACUGACCGAUAGUGAACCAGUACCGUGAGGGAAAGGCGAAAAGAACCCCGGCGAGGGGAGUGAAAAAGAACCUGAAACCGUGUACGUACAAGCAGUGGGAGCACGCUUAGGCGUGUGACUGCGUACCUUUUGUAUAAUGGGUCAGCGACUUAUAUUCUGUAGCAAGGUUAACCGAAUAGGGGAGCCGAAGGGAAACCGAGUCUUAACUGGGCGUUAAGUUGCAGGGUAUAGACCCGAAACCCGGUGAUCUAGCCAUGGGCAGGUUGAAGGUUGGGUAACACUAACUGGAGGACCGAACCGACUAAUGUUGAAAAAUUAGCGGAUGACUUGUGGCUGGGGGUGAAAGGCCAAUCAAACCGGGAGAUAGCUGGUUCUCCCCGAAAGCUAUUUAGGUAGCGCCUCGUGAAUUCAUCUCCGGGGGUAGAGCACUGUUUCGGCAAGGGGGUCAUCCCGACUUACCAACCCGAUGCAAACUGCGAAUACCGGAGAAUGUUAUCACGGGAGACACACGGCGGGUGCUAACGUCCGUCGUGAAGAGGGAAACAACCCAGACCGCCAGCUAAGGUCCCAAAGUCAUGGUUAAGUGGGAAACGAUGUGGGAAGGCCCAGACAGCCAGGAUGUUGGCUUAGAAGCAGCCAUCAUUUAAAGAAAGCGUAAUAGCUCACUGGUCGAGUCGGCCUGCGCGGAAGAUGUAACGGGGCUAAACCAUGCACCGAAGCUGCGGCAGCGACGCUGAUGCGUUGUUGGGUAGGGGAGCGUUCUGUAAGCCUGUGAAGGUGUGCUGUGAGGCAUGCUGGAGGUAUCAGAAGUGCGAAUGCUGACAUAAGUAACGAUAAAGCGGGUGAAAAGCCCGCUCGCCGGAAGACCAAGGGUUCCUGUCCAACGUUAAUCGGGGCAGGGUGAGUCGACCCCUAAGGCGAGGCCGAAAGGCGUAGUCGAUGGGAAACAGGUUAAUAUUCCUGUACUUGGUGUUACUGCGAAGGGGGGACGGAGAAGGCUAUGUUGGCCGGGCGACGGUUGUCCCGGUUUAAGCGUGUAGGCUGGUUUUCCAGGCAAAUCCGGAAAAUCAAGGCUGAGGCGUGAUGACGAGGCACUACGGUGCUGAAGCAACAAAUGCCCUGCUUCCAGGAAAAGCCUCUAAGCAUCAGGUAACAUCAAAUCGUACCCCAAACCGACACAGGUGGUCAGGUAGAGAAUACCAAGGCGCUUGAGAGAACUCGGGUGAAGGAACUAGGCAAAAUGGUGCCGUAACUUCGGGAGAAGGCACGCUGAUAUGUAGGUGAAGUCCCUCGCGGAUGGAGCUGAAAUCAGUCGAAGAUACCAGCUGGCUGCAACUGUUUAUUAAAAACACAGCACUGUGCAAACACGAAAGUGGACGUAUACGGUGUGACGCCUGCCCGGUGCCGGAAGGUUAAUUGAUGGGGUCAGCGCAAGCGAAGCUCUUGAUCGAAGCCCCGGUAAACGGCGGCCGUAACUAUAACGGUCCUAAGGUAGCGAAAUUCCUUGUCGGGUAAGUUCCGACCUGCACGAAUGGCGUAAUGAUGGCCAGGCUGUCUCCACCCGAGACUCAGUGAAAUUGAACUCGCUGUGAAGAUGCAGUGUACCCGCGGCAAGACGGAAAGACCCCGUGAACCUUUACUAUAGCUUGACACUGAACAUUGAGCCUUGAUGUGUAGGAUAGGUGGGAGGCUUUGAAGUGUGGACGCCAGUCUGCAUGGAGCCGACCUUGAAAUACCACCCUUUAAUGUUU
rnacentral:rRNA from 1 species